rnacentral:rRNA from 1 species
AUGCCCCCAAGUCUCAACGAUGAUGCAUACAUGUCAACUAUGGGUGUUGGGUCCAAUAAUUCGCAUUGGUCUCAAACCAAUGACAUCCAUUUCGAAGACCAUGAGUUUGAGGUGGACGAGGAGGGUGAGGGCAUUGUCGAGGCGCCGAAAGGAAGAGCGGGCAAUUACACCACCAACGAUGACAAGUUACUAUGCUAUACUUAUUUGCAAGUGUCGAGGGAUCCAUCCAUUGGAGGUGAUCAAAUUAGAGACGCGUAUUGGGGGCGAAUGAAAGAACACUUUGAUGCUCACAACGUGAGUGGAAUUGACCGCUCCGAGAGAUCACUUCGGUCCCGAUGGUCGACAAUCAACUCGGAUUGUCAAAAGUGGGCGGCCGCACAAAAGGAAGUUGACAAGAUUAACCCAAGUGGCACAAAUGAGGAUGAUCAAUACAACAUUGCACAAAACUUGUUCAAAGAAGAGACGAGGACAACCAAGAAGGGGAAGAUCAAGAAAGGCAGGAUCUUUACCUUGCCUCAUUGCUAUGAAGUGUUGAAGGAUGAUGAGAAAUGGAAGAAGCGUGAUGGUUUGGAUGAUUUGCAUUUGAGCAACAAACGCAAGCGAGCAAUUGAGUUGAAUGAUGAUGAGGAGGAGGAUGAUGUAUCAAGUGAUGACGGCAAGAGAAGCCCCACACCCAACUCGGUUUCAUACUCGAAGCCAAAACGACCGGAUGGGUGCAAGAAAGACAAAACUGAAAAGAAGAAGAGGAAAGGAGAUGAUGAGCUCAAAAAUGCUAUGGAAGCAAUUGUCAACGCAAGAAGAGAAGCCAACGAGGUGAGGAAAAUGGCAAGGAACCAAGAUGCCGCGGCCGAGGAAAGGAGGUUGGCGGCCGAGGAGAGAAGGGUGGUGGCCGAGGAGAGGAAGGUGGCUUUGGAGGAGAGGAAGGUGAGCAAUGAGGAGCGAACUAGAUUGUUGGAAUGGGAGAAACACUUGUUCUUCUUUGACACAUCCAACCUCAAUGAAGCGCAAAAGGAAUAUGUCAAUCUUGCCCGUGAAGAAGUGUUGAUCCAAAAAAGAGCCAUGAUCUGCAUGAGUGGCGGUGGCCUUGGCGGCAUGGGUGGCGGUGGCCUUGGCGCCAUGGGAGGCAUGGGUGGCUUCGGAGCCAUGGGAGGCAUGGGUGCACCUCCAGCUGUCAUUGGAGGCAUGGGUGCAUCUCCGGCCGUCAUGGGAGGCAUGGGUGGCUUUGGAGCACCCUCCGACGCUAUGGCUGCCAUGGGAGGCAUGAGUUUUGCUUCUCUCAUGGGAGGCAUGGGUGCACCUCCGGCCGCCAUGGGUGGAAUGUCUUUCGAUGUGCCUUCUCACACACAUUCCCAUGAAAAUGUCGUUGAAGAUCUUGGCAACACCGUUGGAGCUUCACGUGAUGCGGUGCGUGAUGAGGAGAGGGAGGAAGAUUCAUCUUCGGAGGCGGAAGAAUCGUCUUCGGAAGAUGAGGACGAAGACGAGAAAGAUGAUUGA